GAUGAAGAAACGUAGCGAAAUGCGAUAAGUAAUGUGAAUUGCAGAAUUCAGUGAAUCAUCGAGUCUUUGAACGCACAUUGCGCCCCCUGGUAUUCCGGGGGGCAUGCCUGUCCGAGCGUCAUUGCCGCCCUCAAGCACGGCUUGUGUGUUGGGCCCCCGCCCCCCGGCUUCGGGGGGCGGGCCCGAAAGGCAGCGGCGGCACCGCGUCCGGUCCUCGAGCGUAUGGGGCUUCGUCACCCGCUCUGUAGGCCCGGCCGGCGCCCGCCGGCGACCCCAAUCAAUCUUUCCAGGUUGACCUCGGAUCAGGUAGGGAUACCCGCUGAACUUAAGCAUAUCAAUAAGCGGAGGA
rnacentral:misc_RNA from 1 species